UUGACGGUACCCUACUAGAAAGGAGCCGCUAACUUCGUGCCAGAAGCGUCGGUAAUACGGGGGCUCCAAGCGUUAUCCGGUGUUAUUGGGCGUAAAGAGUCGUGUAGGUGGUUGGGUAAGUUAUCUUUCAAAUAUCUUUGCUUAACAAAGAGGAGGGGGAUAAUACUGCACGACUAGAAUUUUCUCAAGGGAGAUCGGAACUGAGGGAGGAGUAGUGAAAUGCGUUGAUACCCUCGGGAACACCAGUGGCGUAGGCGGAUCUCUGGGAGAAGAUUGACACUGAGACACGAAAGCUAGGGGGGCGAAGCAGAUUAGAGACCUGCGUAGUCCUAGCCGUAAACGCAUGCUUGCUAGCUGCAUGAAUCUACCUUCGGGUGGUAUCGUGUGGCGAAGGUAACCCGUUAAGCAAGCCGCCUGGAAAGUACGGCCGCAAGGCUGAAAUUCAAAGGAAUUGGCGGGGAGGCACACAACCAGUGGAACAUGUGGUUUAAUUCGAGACUAACCGAAGAACCUCACCAGGGUUUGACAUGUAGCUGCACGUCUUAAGAAAUUAAGACUCUCUUGAAGGUGCUACACAGGUGCUGCAUGGCUGUCGUCAGCUCGUUCCGUGAGGAGUGCCCUUAAGUGGGACAACGAGCGCAACCCCUAUUACAUGUUAGAAAUGUCAUGUAAGACUGCCUUGCCAUUUGGCGGGGAGGAAGGAGGGGCAGACGUCAAGUCCGCAUGGUCCUUAUGCCCUGGGCUACACACAUGUUACAAUGAGUACGGCAAUGAGUCUGUCGCGAGCACGUAAGUGUAAGCUAAUCUCUUAAAUGUACUCUCAGUGGGGAUUGAGGUCUGCAACUCGACCUCAUGAACACGGAAUUGGUAGUAAUCGCGGGUCAGCUAUACCGCGGUGAAUACGUUCUUGCCUCUUGCACACACCGCCCGUCAAACCAGCAAAGU
rnacentral:rRNA from 1 species